rnacentral:rRNA from 1 species
UACGGGGGGAGCAAACGUUGUUCGGAAUUACUGGGCGUAAAGGGCGCGUAGGUGGCCUUUUGAGUCAGACGUGAAAUCCCCCGGCUUAACCUGGGAACUGCGUCUGAUACUGGAAGGCUUGAGUUCGGGAGAGGGAUGUGGAAUUCCAGGUGUAGCGGUGAAAUGCGUAGAUAUCUGGAGGAACACCGGUGGCGAAGGCGGCAUCCUGGACCGAAACUGACACUGAGGCGCGAAAGCCAGGGGAGCAAACGGG